UACGUAGGGGGCAAGCGUUGUCCGGAUUUAUUGGGCGUAAAGAGCGUGUAGGCGGCCUGAAAGGUCAGCUGUGAAAACUCGAGGCUCAACCUCGAGACGUCGGUUGAAACCGUAUGGCUAGAGUCCGGAAGAGGAGAGUGGAAUUCCCGGUGUAGCGGUGAAAUGCGCAGAUAUCGGGAAGAACACCCGUGGCGAAGGCGGCUCUCUGGGACGGUACUGACGCUGAGACGCGAAAGCGUGGGGAGCAAACAGGGAUUAAGAU
rnacentral:rRNA from 1 species